GAUUCGGUGGUUGAGUGAUCUAAACAUUAAGUUUGAGAUUGCUAUGACUCGGGUUCGAAUCCCGCAUUGGACACUCA